UACGGAGGGUGCGAGCGUUGUCCGGAAUCACUGGGCGUAAAGGGCGCGUAGGCGGCGCGAGCAGUCGGCGGUGAAAGCCCGGAGCUCAACUCCGGGUCGGCCGUCGAUACUCUCGUGCUUGAGCACUGUAGAGGCAGGUGGAAUUCCGGGUGUAGCGGUGGAAUGCGUAGAGAUCCGGAAGAACACCGGUGGCGAAGGCGGCCUGCUGGGCAGUAGCUGACGCUGAUGCGCGACAGCGUGGGGAGCAACAGG
rnacentral:rRNA from 1 species